AUUGAACGCUGGCGGCAGGCCUAACACAUGCAAGUCGAACGAGUGGCGGACGGGUGAGUAAUGUCUGGGAAACUGCCUGAUGGAGGGGGCUAACUACUGGAAACGGUAGCUAAUACCGCAUACCAUCGGAUGUGCCCAUAUGGGAUUAGCUAGUAGGUGGGGUAAAGGCUCACCUCGGUGACGAUCCCUAGCUGGUCUGAUAGGAUGACCAGCCACCAUGGAACUUGGGCACGGUCCAGACGCCGACGGCAGGCAGCAGUGGGGAAUAUUGCACAAUGGGCGCAAGCCUGAUGUCGCCCUGCCGCGUGUAUGAAGAAGGCCUUCGGGUUGUAAAGUACUUUCAGCGGGGAGGCGUUACCCGCAGAAGAAGCACCGGCUAGCUCCGUGCCAGCAGCCGCGGUAAUAC
rnacentral:rRNA from 1 species